rnacentral:lncRNA from 1 species
GGACAUCAACUCUCCACAGUAGAGACUGACGCUUGUCCUAAUUUGCUUUGUUGUUUGUUUGCUGCGAUCAACACCAUGGCCAAAAGUAACCUGGGGUGGAAAGGGUUUAUUUCACUUAGUGACUUAUAGUAAAUCAUUGAAGGAAGUCAGGAACUCAAGGCAGGAACAUGGAGACAGGAGCUCAUGCAGAGGCCAUGGAGGGGUGCUGCUUACUGGCUUGCUCACUAUGGCUUGCUCAGUCUGCUUUCUUAAAGAACCCAGGACCACUUCUCAGAUGACUCAAGUUUGUGUCAAGUUGGCGAAGAAGAAGAAGAAGAAGAAGAAGAAGAAGAAGAAGAAGAAGAAGA